rnacentral:rRNA from 1 species
UAAGCGGAGGAAAAGAAACUAACAAGGAUUCCCCUAGUAGCGGCGAGCGAAGCGGGAAGAGCUCAAAUUUAUAAUCUGGCACCUUCGGUGUCCGAGUUGUAAUCUCUAGAAGUGUUUUCCGCGUUGGACCGCACACAAGUCUGUUGGAAUACAGCGGCAUAGUGGUGAAACCCCCGUAUAUGGUGCGGACGCCCAGCGCUUUGUGAUACACUUUCAAUGAGUCGAGUUGUUUGGGAAUGCAGCUCAAAUUGGGUGGUAAAUUCCAUCUAAAGCUAAAUAUUGGCGAGAGACCGAUAGCGAACAAGUACCGUGAGGGAAAGAUGAAAAGCACUUUGGAAAGAGAGUUAACAGUACGUGAAAUUGUUGGAAGGGAAACGCUUGAAGUCAGACUUGCUUGCCGGAGCUUGCUUCGGUUUGCAGGCCAGCAUCAGUUUUCCGGGGUGGAUAAUGACGGUUUGAAGGUAGCAGUCUCGGCUGUGUUAUAGCUUUCCGUUGGAUACAUCCUGGGGGACUGAGGAACGCAGCGUGCUUUUUGCGAAAGACUC